CUCUUCUCUCUCACGAUACUCACUCUCUUCAUUUCUUUUCCUCCAUCGAUCUCUUCUACAUCCUCAAUCUCUGCCGUCAUCCUCUCUGUUCUCCAUCCAUCUCUGCCGCCAUCUUCUUUCUCCUCCGUCUCUACCGCCAUCUUCUCCUAAACCCUAAAAAUUAGAACCAACUAAACCUAAUUUCUAAGCCCUCUUUUGAUAUCUCAAAUUUGAUUUGAUUCGAAUCCAUAUUUGAGGACGCGAUGGGCGAUUUCAACCUCUCACGCUUCAUCGUCGCCAUUAUCUAGAUCUGAGGUAAAUUUGGCAACUACUUCAUAGAGAGAUUUGACGAGUAGCAAGUGAUGAAUCCAACAAGGGGAGUUGGAAUGUACAGAUCCAAGAAACCCAAAGAUGAGAAGGAAGCAGUUUCAAGCAUCUUAGAGGACCUACAUACUUGCACAAAAUGACAUGGUAUCUGUGUAGGCUAAUGCUUGUUUUGAUGAAGACGGUUUCUCCUAUGGAAUCUACACUAAAGCUGUCAAGCUCACUACAGCAGAUACCGUGACUAGCUCUGUAUACUCAUUGUUUUGGGGAUUCCAGCAAAUCAGAACUCUGGCAGGAAAUCAAGUUCCAAGCUACUUUGUUUGGGAAGUCCUUUUUACCAUGGAAAUUAUUGGACAGGGCCUCUUGCUCUUUGCUCUUCUAAUUGUAAAUAUGCAUAAUUUUCUUCAAUCUCUUGGAUGGAGGUACUACUUUCUACUAUCGUUUCUGCUUCUUAAAUGUUCUACAUGCCAAAGCUGGUUGAAGGGAUAUAGGGUAAAUUUUCUAUAUGAUUUCCACCAUCUAUUAUUGUUCUGGUUGUCUUGAAAUACAUGUCUUAUACCCUGUGAUAUUUAUAUGGAUAUUGCUUUAUUGUUUGUGAACUCACCCCUUGGCUCAUAUACCUCAUCACAUGUAUAAACGGUGCUUAUGUCCUAGGAUACUCCAGAAAUUUCAUGCUUCCUUUAGGUUAAAUAGACAGUGUAAUCCAGUAGCUUACUCAGGUAUUCAUAACCAAAAAAUUUUAAGUUUUUGAUAAUUUGGCCACUGUUUUUUCUGCUGGAAAUAUUUUGUGCUUCAAAGAGGAAAGGGCAUAGAGAAUGUAGGGAGAUUUAACUAUCUGAAUGAAACUUGUUGGGGAUAGAUCAAAGAAGGGAGAAAGUGUGAUGGAUUUGUUCUAUGGAAGUGGGGAUUUGGCGAGAUAAGCUAGCGGCCUAGAACUAGAACCUCUCUGGUUUAAGUUACUGUUCAAUUAAUUAGUAAUAUGGUAUGCCUUAAAAAGAAGUAUGUUCUCAUUUCCUAAUCUUGUAUAUAUGUUUCUCUCUCACAAUUUGGUUUAAUUGUAUUUUAAUUUGCAUGCAAUUGAUUUAUAAAGUAUACAUCUUUGUGGAAUGCCAGACUUGGGGCCAUUGACAUCAUCACCUUCAUCAUUAUCCUCCACAUCCAGUACUACUAACUCUGUAUAGAAUAAAUACUGGGGGCUGAUAGAUCUGUAAACACCUUUUCCAAUCUUUUUGCUGAGUUUGGAGUUUAAGCUUAAAGUUAUGAGAACAUUUUUUUUUUUUUUUCUGAUCUUGUUUUUAUGUACUUUUCCUAAUUAGAUUAGAUCUUGCUGUUAGCUAAAGUUGCAGGCUCUGAGUUUGGUAUCAUCUUUUGACCAUAUAGUUUUUGGUUAGGGGUGGUUUGCAUUCUCUCCUCGUUAUUGCAUUCUUGAUACCCUCAGGUUCGACAUACUACAACAAGUUGAGGCCACUAAGCUAUAGAGGUGCAGACAUACUAUUACUAUAGCAGAUUUGUAAACACCAAGAUCACACUGAAUGUGGAGACCAAGUACAAAUUGUGGAAGACACAACAACUAUAGGUUAAUGCUUUGGAAAUGGUAUUUUGUAAUUAUAGGUUAAUGCUAUGGAUAUGGUAUUUUGUAUGGAUAUAGUAGGAAUCAAGAUUGGUAAAUAAUGUAAUUACUUUUGAAUCUUCAAGUUUUAUGUAAUUACUUUUGAAUCUUCAAGUUUUAUGUAAUUACUUUUGAAUCUUCAA